rnacentral:rRNA from 1 species
GAUGAACGCUGGCGGCGUGCCUAAUACAUGCAAGUCGAGCGAAUGGAUUAAGAGCUUGCUCUUAUGAAGUUAGCGGCGGACGGGUGAGUAACACGUGGGUAACCUGCCCAUAAGACUGGGAUAACUCCGGGAAACCGGGGCUAAUACCGGAUAACAUUUUGAACCGCAUGGUUCGAAAUUGAAUGGCGGCUUCGGCUGUCACUUAUGGAUGGGCCCGCGUCGCAUUAGCUAGUUGGUGAGGUAACGGCUCACCAAGGCAACGAUGCGUAUCCGACCUGAGAGGGUGAUCGGCCACACUGGGACUGAGACACGGCCCAGACUCCUACGGGAGGCAGCAGUAGGGAAUCUUCCGCAAUGGACGAAAGUCUGACGGAGCAACGCCGCGUGAGUGAUGAGGGCUUUCGGGUCGUAAAACUCUGUUGUUAGGGAAGAACAAGUGCUAGUUGAAUAAGCUGGCACCUUGACGGUACCUAACCAGAGAGCCACGGCUAACUACGUGCCAGCCGCCGCCGUAA